rnacentral:misc_RNA from 1 species
AAGUCGUAACAAGGUUUCCGUAGGUGAACCUGCGGAAGGAUCAUUAAAAGUGCCCCGGCCUGAGCCGGGGACUACACCACUGGUGAGCUGAUGUGCUGGGCUUCGGCUCAGACAUCAGCGAAUUAUUGUGUCCACCCCAUUGUGAAACUUCUAUUUUGCUUCGGCAGCACUCUCAGCGUGGUUCGCCCGCUGGAGGGAUAAGGCUGUCGGAAGCCCAUACCAAAACCAGUUAAUGAAAUGUCAUGCUGUCUGAUAAUCACUAUUUGAGAAAUCAAAUUACAUUAAAA